GUGAACGCUGGCGGUCGGCCUAACCCAUGCAAGUCGCACGGCAGCACAGUAAGAGCUUGCUCUUACGGGUGGCGAGUGGCGGACGGGUGAGGAAUACAUCGGAAUCUACUUUUUCGUGGGGGAUAACGUAGGGAAACUUACGCUAAUACCGCAUACGACCUACGGGUGAAAGCAGGGGGUCUUCGGACCUUGCGCGAUUGAAUGAGCCGAUGUCGGAUUAGCUAGUUGGCGGGGUAAAGGCCCACCAAGGCGACGAUCCGUAGCUGGUCUGAGAGGAUGAUCAGCCACACUGGAACUGAGACACGGUCCAGACUCCUACGGGAGGCAGCAGUGGGGAAUAUUGGACAAAGGGCGCAAGCCUGAUCCAGCCAUACCGCGUGGGUGAAGAAGGCCUUCGGGUUGUGAAGCCCUUUUGUUGGGAAAGAAAAGCAGCAGGUUAAUACCCCGCUGUUCUGACGGUACCCAAAGAAUAAGCACCGGCUAACUUCGUG
rnacentral:rRNA from 1 species